rnacentral:rRNA from 1 species
AUACGUAGGGGGCGAGCGUUGUCCGGAAUGAUUGGGCGUAAAGGGCGCGUAGGCGGCCCGGUAAGUCUGGAGUGAAAGUCCUGUUUUUAAGAUGGGAAUUGCUUUGGAUACUGUCGGGCUUGAGUGCAGGAGAGGUAAGUGGAAUUCCCAGUGUAGCGGUGAAAUGCGUAGAGAUUGGGAGGAACACCAGUGGCGAAGGCGACUUACUGGACUGUAACUGACGCUGAGGCGCGAAAGUGUGGAGCAAACAGGAUUAGAUACCCUGGUAGUCCACACUGUAAACGAUGAAUGCUAGGUGUAGGGGGUAUCGACCCCUUCUGUGCCGCAGUCAACACAAUAAGCAUUCCGCCUGGGGAGUACGGCCGCAAGGUUGAAACUCAAAUGAAUUGACGGGG